rnacentral:lncRNA from 1 species
UCUGAACUUAAGUGGUUAGGCUUAUCAAACUAUUCGAUUCACUAGUUACUAUGUAUAUAUUCCUCAAUAGCCAAGUGAGCACAAUCUAACUACUAGACUGGAUUUAUAUGUACAUUGUUUUCAAGUGUGAGUUUUAUUCACCUGCCGAUGUAAAGAGAAUCCCGGAGGAAUAUCACGCCCAUUGCGACGGCAAUGGCAAUGGACAGAGGCUUGAACAUUGCAACGAAUAAAGGUCCCUUGAUCCUCAACGCCCACGUGUGGAUUGUAUUGUUUAUGCAAGAUCCAAACAAUCCCUAAACAUAUAAACAUAAACAAAAAUUUAUUGUAUACUAGUGUCGAGGAACACACAUCAACCCAUAGUUAUAUUCUCACCGAGCAAACGAUUGAUACUAAAGCUAUAUUUGGUUUUAUCUUCCAUGCACUCAAGUCACUCCCUUCAGUGAACAACGUGACCAGCCCGGUCCAAAAGCUCACUCCAAAGCUAUAAUAGCAAACAACGGUGAACUCGGAUGGAUACUCUCUCAUGAUUUGAGUCUACAAAGAGAAAUAUUAAGAUCAUAACAUGCAUAAAACAAUUACCAUAUAUAUAGAGGUGAAAUUAUAUAUAUAUAUAUAUAUGAAAAUAUAGUUUGAUUAAAGUCAGACCUGAACAAUAUACCACAACGGAACCAUGAAAUACUCGACGGCAAGAAAAGCCGCACCAAUGAUCCAAUCGUGGUUUGGAGAUUGCGAUCUCAGAGAAAUGGACGGUGGUGACAUAUUGAUCACCACAGGACCAUUGUAAAGAGUCACAAUAAAUGCUCCUCCAAUGGAGACUAUGGUUCCUAACAUUUUAGCCACACUACUUGUUCUCUUGAAAGAUACACUCUCCAUCCUAAUACCAAACUCCAAAUAAUUCAACAAAUGAUGCCUCAUGGGCUGAACUCAAUGCCCAAAUAUGCUUCAUGGGCCGAGGGUAUUUUAGGGAAUUGAUAGUGUAAAAAGAAUAUAUAAGAGGAUAAUAAACCUGAAAAGGAUGGCCAGCAAGAAGGUGAACGCAGGAGUGAGGUUGCUGAUUGCAGAAGCAAGUGUUGGAGAGCUAUAGUUAAUGCCUGUGUAGCCCAUUAUGUUUGAGCAGCAUCUACAUUAUUUUAACACCAUUUUUAUUAACUUAUUUAUAUAACAAAAUAGUACUAUUAGAUUUCGAUUAUAACGAAGAUGAAAGCAUCCCCUUUUUAAAAAUAGAUAAAAAUAAAUUAUUAAAAAGGAAAAACAAAAGAAAAUGGGGUAGAUUUUGCAGUACAGUUUGCUAAAAUUAGUACAUGUCCUUGUAUUUCCCCAUUAUGUUCUAACAGCAUCUAUAUUAAUUAAGAAUAUUUAAUUUAUUAGAUAACUAUGUAAUAAAGGGUUCGAUUUUAGAGUAAAAGUGAACCUGAUGGAGAAUCAAGGUCAGCUUCGUUAGCAUCCUCGUUGUUAGCCUUGUUGUUAUCUUCGACUAAGGCCAUUUCCUUAGCUUUGCCCCACAUCACCGUGUAAAACCCGAUCGUUAUUACCGUUGCCCCUAUCAAGCUGAGAUCAAAAACAUUCACCAGACAGUCCGCAAAUGGAAACAAAAUAGUUAACUAAAGCAGAAAAGAUUGGUCUGAACUUAAGUGGUUAGGCUUAUCAAACUAUUCGAUUCACUAGUUACUAUGUAUAUAUUCCUCAAUAGCCAAGUGAGCACAAUCUAACUACUAGACUGGAUUUAUAUGUACAUUGUUUUCAAGUGUGAGUUUUAUUCACCUGCCGAUGUAAAGAGAAUCCCGGAGGAAUAUCACGCCCAUUGCGACGGCAAUGGCAAUGGACAGAGGCUUGAACAUUGCAACGAAUAAAGGUCCCUUGAUCCUCAACGCCCACGUGUGGAUUGUAUUGUUUAUGCAAGAUCCAAACAAUCCCUAAACAUAUAAAC